UACGAAGGGUGCAACCGUUGCUCGGAAUUAUUAGGCGUAAAGCGCACGUAGGCGGCUUAGCAAGUCGGAUGUGAAAUCCCUCGGCUUAACCAAGGAAGUGCAUCCGAAACUGCUGAGCUUGAGUACUUAAGAGGAUCGCGGAAUUCCCGGUGUAGAGGUGAAAUUCGUAGAUAUCGGGAGGAACACCAGUGGCGAAGGCGGCGAUCUGGGAAGAUACUGACGCUGAGGUGCGAAAGCGUGGGGAGCAAACAGG
rnacentral:rRNA from 1 species